GAAGGGCAGGUGGCAUGGAGGUUAUUUUAGGAGGGUAGAAAAAUGCAGCAUGUGGAACCCAUUCCUUGGGCUGAGGUACAAGAGCAGAUAAACCAAGAUUCUACGGUCGAUGCUUAUACAAAGCAGAUAAACCUUCAACUUCCAAGAGGGCACCAAAUACAUCCACAGAAUGUCUGAGAGGCUCAUCAAAAUAAGAACUGAAAACUGGGCAAAGGGAUACAGAGGUGAGUAGGAAGGAGUCGGAUAGCUGGGAAGAGAGAGAAGGGAGAGGACCAAGAAGAUGGGAAAAUCUGGGGCAUGAUUCUUUCCACCAAUUUCUCCAUAAAUUUGGAUCUUAUAUGUCUUCAAAGAAGGAAGGCAACUUUGCGCCUCACGAGAAAAGUGAUCAAUGAACUUUGUGUCACCUCUUGGAGGUCCAGCGCAAGCAAGGACACUGCGGACACAUGGAUGGUCCUUUCCAUAAACACAGCUAAGACCUGGGAAAAUCAAAUAUAAGCUGCCCAGAGGACACACGGUCUAGUUACUUCCCCUGCAAGAACAGCUCAUACUGUGGCUUUUCAUGAUCUCACUAGAAAUCUGAACCUUCAAAAGAACAAUUGGUCUGUACAUUUGUGCCUAAGUCCUUGACUUAGUGAUAUGGUAAGUCAGGCACCGAGUUACAGCCUAGUUUGCUGAUGGAUAAAAUAAAGGGUGGGACAGUGGAGAGAAUUUCUCCUUAGAGAAUUCCAGAAACAUAGUGUCCUGAGUAUAUUCCAAACCAUUCAAGCACCAUCUCUCAGGUCUUUGCUUUGCCCUCAGCAGAGAUGUUCAGAGAGAACGGCUCCAAUGUCAGAUAGGUUAAAUUGAAAUCACCACAUUAAAAAGAUAAUCCCUAAAGAGCAAAAAAUAUUUCCAAGCAAAUAUUUCCAAGCUCUAGCCAUUGGUCUAUUUAUUUAAAGCAAUAUUAGAUAAAGCAAAAGUCCUACCCAAGGAAAGGAUCGGACAAGGCCCUCAGAGGUCACUUCAAUAGGAUUGCUGGGCCCUGACAAGUUUAAAGGGACCCAGUGUAUCAGGAGUGACAUUUCAAAGAGGGAUUUUAUUUUAGUCACACCAAUGACUCACUGUGAGAACAAGUGGGGACAAUAGCAGCCCAAGAACGUGACAGAUCGUAGCAAGGAAGGGAUGUUUGACAAACGGAACCCUUUCAUGAUAAUCUCAACAAUGUAAUCUGUACAUGUGUGUGAAACUCCACCUCAGCGGCUGUGCGCCAAGGUUAGGGGCUGCCCGGAGGAUGCACUGGGCCCCAGAAGUCUGUAGGUCGUACACUUUUAUUUUUCUACCAGCCUUCUGCCUCUAAAGAUGAGCUGGGAAAUUUCUUGUCCAAAUUACAUUUUGAAACAACUUACUCAAACUUUAGAAAUAGCAAGGAAUGUUGAGAAAUAAACCUAUUCUGCUGGCAAGUGCAGAACUAUAUACUACAGAUGC